CCUACGGGCGGCAGCAGUAGGGAAUCUUCCACAAUGGGCGAGAGCCUGAUGGAGCAACGCCGCGUGGGUGAAGAAGGUCUUCUGAUCGUAAAACCCUGUUGUUAGAGAAGAAAGUGCGUGAGAGUAACUGUUCCCGUUUCGACGGUAUCUAACAAGAAAGCCACGGCUAACUACAGGCCAGAAGCCGCGGUAAUACGUAGGUGGCAAGCGUUAUCCGGAUUUAUUGGGCGUAAAGGGAACGCAGGCGGUCUUUUAAGUGUGAUGGGAAAGUCUUCGGCUUAACCGGAGUAGUGCAUUGGAAACUGGGAGACUGGAGUGCAGAAGAGGAGAGUGGAACUCAAUGUGUAGCGGUGAAAUGCGUAGAUAUAUGGCAGAACACCAGUGGCGAAAGCGGCUCUCUGGUCUGUAACUGACGCUGAGGUUCGAAAGCGUGGGUAGCAAACAGGAUUAGAUACCCGUGUAGUC
rnacentral:rRNA from 1 species